CCCAGAAGAGGUGGGAAAACAGAGAAAAAUUUGAAAACACGCGAUAGAUACUGUAAAGAAUGGGCUUUAAAAUCGUUGUUGUGGUCUAUGUUUUGUUGUGUUCCUUGUGCUUUUCCGAGGCGUUUGUAGGAAACAUGGUUGGAAAAAGACAGUUUAAGGCAGAACUCCAAUCCAAAAGGGAUUCUCAAAACUUGUGCCAUUCUGAGAUCGAGCCAUGUCAAGAGAAAAGGGAUCGACUUUCAACCAAAAGAAGUCUUACAAGGAAAUUAGAAGAAAAUUAUUAAACUGUAUUUAUACAUCAGACCUUGUUUAUAUCUCAUGAUAAUCAUUAAACGAAAUCUAUUUUUCGCCAUAGCUAAUAAUCAAAUAUGAACGGAUAAAUCUCGUAACGAUGUAGUAUUAGGAGGUACUUUGCUUAAGUUCCUCGUUAAGAAGAGAUGAGUUUUAUUUGUCCUGCAAACUUAAAGAAAAAUAAACGUAUUUUUAGGGUCA